GACGAACGCUGGCGGCGUGCUUAACACAUGCAAGUCGAACGCGCCUGUCCUCUGGGUUUCUGGGGGGUGGGUGAGUGGCGAACGGGCGAGUAACACGUGAGUAACCUGCCCCCUUCUUCGGGAUAACGGUCUGAAAGGGCUGCUAAUACCGGGUAUUCACUGGUCUCCGCAUGGGGUCUGGUGGAAAGGUUUUUUUCUGGUGGGGGAUGGGCUCGCGGCCUAUCAGCUUGUUGGUGGGGUGAUGGCCCACCAAGGCUUUGACGGGUAGCCGGCCUGAGAGGGUGACCGGUCACAUUGGGACUGAGAUACGGCCCAGACUCCUACGGGAGGCAGCAGUGGGGAAUAUUGCACAAUGGGCGCAAGCCUGAUGCAGCGACGCCGCGUGAGGGAUGGAGGCCUUCGGGUUGUGAACCUCUUUCGCCCGUGGUCAAGCCGCGACGUGGGUCGUGGUGAGGGUAGUGGGUAAAGAAGCGCCGGCUAACUACGUG
rnacentral:rRNA from 1 species